UUAUUAAUCCCCCUCCCCUGUAACUAUUCCCCGGGUCGUUGCUGCAAAUGAGAACGUGUUCUCAGUCAAUUCACCUUGUAAAAUAACGGAAAUCCUCAAAAUAGUCAGAAUUCAUCUAAAAUAACUCAAGAAAUCUGUCAAUAUUGACGUUUUUGCCGAGGAGAUCUUAGGCGCGCAAUUGUACAUAUAACUAAGAUGUUUGGUGCAUUAUUUCUCUAUGGGAAACAUGUGCAUGAAAACGAAUCGUCUUUCGUUGAAUGACAACAAAGACUCCAUACACUUGACCAAUCACGGACGAAGGGGUGUAGACUUCGGCUCCCGAACUGGCCUUGAUAAAAAUGUCUGCCGAACAGCGCAAACACUGCUGUGGCAGUGCACCACUGUCAACUGGAAAACGUCAAUGAACCAUUCUAAUAAUGCCAACCACUUGGAGCCGUUUCCUGACCCAGGCUGUUAUGGCCACACCCAGUUCCACCUGGUCCCUGAUAGGUAUCGCAGGGACAAAAUGGCUUAUCUGAAUCUGACUGACCAGAUUGAGGUCUACCUGAGCUCAUGGCAUUGACAGUCUAUUCACAUGGACAGGAGCACAAGCCAUGUAUCAUGGUGUGUAGUCAUUACUUGAAUAUCAGGUGUUAUUCUCCUUACCACCCUAAGCGUCAGUAACUUUUAAUUCAUUUUACCAUUCAGCUGUUUUCUGCCUGCUCUUGAAUACAUUUAUUCAUGAUACAUUUCAGUUGUGAAUACCAUCAAUUGUUGUUAAAGGACAUUUUGUAAACUUGAACAAAACAUCAUCAGGUUUCUGGAGCCAUGAGGAUGUGGCCAGGUCCUUUGUGUCCCACUAUUGGCCAGUACUUCUCUUUCUUCUGUUACCAGCUCAACUCCCUGUCCAUGAGACGGAUGCUGUGAACCCCAGGAAGAACUUGUGCUGGGGGACAGACAGUAUUCAUCUGUAUGAUAUGAAGCAUGGUGUUGUGGUUGGGCUGGAUGACAGGGUCCUCAAGCUCCUGGUCUGGUUCCUACUGGGCAGGUCAGGUGGACAUGGAUAGAUGGUGUAUGCAGGGUGAAAUAAGUGUUUUUGUUGAAUUGUUUCCAUCUGGAUUCAACAGUGGCAAAUGUAAAUUAAUGUACACUGUGUGUGUGUGUGUGUGUGUGUCUCUGGUAUGAUCUGGCAGAAUGUAUUCAUGUGGAAAGUAAAAACAGUUGCAUACAGGGUU